rnacentral:rRNA from 1 species
UACGUAGGGCGCAAGCGUUGUCCGGAAUUAUUGGGCGUAAAGAGCUCGUAGGCGGCCUGUUGCGUCCGCUGUGAAAUCCCGGGGCUCAACCCCGGGCCUGCAGUGGAUACGGGCUGGCUAGAGGCAGGCAGGGGAGAACGGAAUUCCUGGUGUAGCGGUGAAAUGCGCAGAUAUCAGGAGGAAUACCGAUGGCGAAGGCAGGUCUCUGGGCUGACACUGACGCUCAUGCACGAAAGCGUGGGGAGCAAACAGG